rnacentral:rRNA from 1 species
GACGAACGCUGGCGGCGUGCUUAACACAUGCAAGUCGAACGGAAAGGCCCCUUCGGGGGUACUCGAGUGGCGAACGGGUGAGUAACACGUGAGUAACCUGCCCUUGACUUCGGGAUAACUUCAGGAAACUGGGGCUAAUACCGGAUAGGAAUCCUUGCUGCAUGGUGGGGGUUGGAAAGCUUCGGCGGUUUUGGAUGGACUCGCGGCUUAUCAGCUUGUUGGUGGGGUAGUGGCUUACCAAGGCUUUGACGGGUAGCCGGCCUGAGAGGGCGACCGGCCACAUUGGGACUGAGAUACGGCCCAGACUCCUACGGGAGGCAGCAGUGGGGAAUAUUGCACAAUGGGCGGAAGCCUGAUGCAGCAACGCCGCGUGCGGGAUGACGGCCUUCGGGUUGUAAACCGCUUUCAGCAGGGGCGAAGCUUGUGGUGACGGUACCUGCAGAAGAAGCACCCGCUAACUACGUG